rnacentral:tRNA from 21 species
GCGCCCAUCGUCUAGAGGCCUAGGACGUCGCCCUUUCACGGCGAAAACAGGGGUUCGAAUCCCCUUGGGCGCGCCA